rnacentral:rRNA from 1 species
UACGUAGGGUGCAAGCGUUAAUCGGAAUUACUGGGCGUAAAGCGUGCGCAGGCGGUUAUGCAAGACAGAGGUGAAAUCCCCGGGCUCAACCUGGGAACUGCCUUUGUGACUGCAUAGCUAGAGUACGGUAGAGGAGGAUGGAAUUCCGCGUGUAGCAGUGAAAUGCGUAGAUAUGCGGAGGAACACCGAUGGCGAAGGCAAUCCCCUGGACCUGUACUGACGCUCAUGCACGAAAGCGUGGGGAGCAAACAGG